rnacentral:rRNA from 1 species
AGAGUUUGAUCCUGGCUCAGGACGAACGCUGGCGGCGCGCCUAACACAUGCAAGUCGAACGGAGCUUGAAGAGCUUGCUUUUUAAGCUUAGUGGCGAACGGGUGAGUAACGCGUGAGUAAUCUGCCCUAGAGUGGGGGACAACAGUUGGAAACGACUGCUAAUACCGCAUAAGCCCACGGUACCGCAUGGUACUGAGGGAAAAGGAUUUAUUCGCUUUAGGAUGGACUCGCGUCCAAUUAGCUAGUUGGUGAGGUAACGGCCCACCAAGGCGACGAUUGGUAGCCGGACUGAGAGGUUGAACGGCCACAUUGGGACUGAGACACGGCCCAGACUCCUACGGGAGGCAGCAGUGGGGGAUGUUGCACAAUGGGGGAAACCCUGAUGCAGCGAUGCCGCGUGGAGGAAGAAGGUUUUCGGAUUGUAAACUCCUGUCGUAAGGGAAGAGAAAGGACUGUACCUUACAAGAAAGCUCCGGCUAACUACGUGCCAGCAGCCGCGGUAAUACGUAGGGAGCGAGCGUUGUCCGGAAUGACUGGGUGUAAAGGGAGCGUAGGCGGGAUGGCAAGUCAGAUGUGAAACCUGAGGGCUCAACCUUCAGACUGCAUUUGAAACUGCUGUUCUUGAGUGAAGUAGAGGUAAGCGGAAUUCCUGGUGUAGCGGUGAAAUGCGUAGAGAUCAGGAGGAACAUCGGUGGCGAAGGCGGCUUACUGGGCUUUUACUGACGCUGAGGCUCGAAAGCGUGGGGAGCAAACAGGAUUAGAUACCCUGGUAGUCCACGCUGUAAACGAUGAUUACUAGGUGUGGGGGGAUUGACCCCUUCCGUGCCGCAGUUAACACAAUAAGUAAUCCACCUGGGGAGUACGACCGCAAGGUUGAAACUCAAAGGAAUUGACGGGGGCCCGCACAAGCAGUGGAGUAUGUGGUUUAAUUCGAAGCAACGCGAAGAACCUUACCAGGUCUUGACAUCGAGUGACGUAUCCAGAGAUGGAUAUUUCCUUCGGGACACAAAGACAGGUGGUGCAUGGUUGUCGUCAGCUCGUGUCGUGAGAUGUUGGGUUAAGUCCCGCAACGAGCGCAACCCUUAUCAUUAGUUGCUACGCAAGAGCACUCUAAUGAGACUGCCGUUGACAAAACGGAGGAAGGUGGGGAUGACGUCAAAUCAUCAUGCCCCUUAUGACCUGGGCUACACACGUACUACAAUGGCGAUCGAACAGAGGGAAGCAAGACAGCGAUGUGGAGCCAAUCCCAAAAAAUCGCCCCAGUUCAGAUUGCAGGCUGCAACUCGCCUGCAUGAAGUCGGAAUUGCUAGUAAUCGCAGAUCAGCAUGCUGCGGUGAAUACGUUCCCGGGCCUUGUAUACACCGCCCGUCACACCAUGGGAGUCGGUAACACCCAAAGCCGGUCGUCUAACCUUCGGGAGGACGCCGUCUAAGGUGGGAUUGAUGACUGGGGUGAAGUCGUAACAAGGUA